UAGUCAAGGUUCUAUAAUGUAAUUGGAAUGUAGAAAUAGAAUUGAGUAUUGAUAUUGAAUUGUAUACGAGCAGACACGGUAACUAUAAGUCGAAAUCAUGUUUUCGUUCAGAAAAUUUUCAGUAAUUAAUUGUAUUCUAGCAAUUCGUAUCUGUUUCGGACAUUUCUGCGAAUUGUCUACAUCGAAACGGGUUAACUUUGUUUGCAAAUACUAUUGUAUAGUAUUUUAUAUAUGGCAAAUUAAUUUUAUGUACAAAGGUUUACUUCUCGCAUCUACACAUCUAUACCUACAACUUAUACUUGUAUGCUUCAAAUCUAUAUCUAAUGCACUCAUUGCGUUUUUUUUUAAGGAUUCAUAUUUUUUAAAAUACUGUGCAGAUGUUGAGACGAUCGAUAAAGUAUUACGAUUUAAUGUAAAGUACACUAUUUAUUCAAUUGUUGUUUACGGAAUUUCUAUAAUAUGCUGCAUUAUAAGCGCCAUUCCCCUAAUUAAAGUCUUUGGUGUAGGUGCUUUCUUCGAGGUUGGCUCGUUUUUAGUAUCCGACGUUUCUGUAAUGCUUGCUUCCAUUGUUAUUUCGUUGAGUUACGAAAUGUUUUGGACUCGAAUGAAAUUAUUGAAGGAUUACGUUAAGCAAUACGUUCACAAUGGAGACUUGACUAUUGAGUCGAAGAACUUCCACUUGAAACAGUUUACACAUGUUUACAAAAGUCUUUUAGAUGCUGUGAAAGAUGCGAAUGCUGCUCUCAAAAUAAAGAUGUUUAUCGACACAAUUUUUAUAUUCAGCAAGAUGGUUACUGAGACUCAUUUUCAAAUCAUUGCCGUCAUUUCAGAUGGGUUUUCUUUGUACAUGAUUCUGCCAAUAACCAGUGUUAUAGUACAUUUUUGCCUAAUUUUUCUGAGCGUAAUAUUUUUAGAGUUGGUUCUAAAGGAAUAUGAGGAAAUAAAAGGCAUGAUGGCUAUUGAGUUAGUAAGAU